rnacentral:tmRNA from 1 species
GGGGGCGACUUGGUUUCGACGUGGGUUACAAAACCAUCGGAGCAUGCCGAGGUGCAGAUUUCCUCGUAAAAUUAGCUGCAAUAAAUUUAGUUGCCAACGACGACAACUACGCCCUGGCGGCUUAAUCCCUGCCAGCCUUUCACCUGAUUUGUUCAUGGAUUGGGAUUUGAAGGGUCGAAAUACAUGGACUCGUACUAUGGUUUACUCGCAAACUAUAGCGCUAAAAUUUAGCGAGAUCGCUGUCUACAACCCAGUCUGUUGGGGGGUAGCCAGUUAAAUUAAUAACAGACUAAGCAUGUAGCUGCCGGUGAGUGGAGAACUUGCGGACGCGGGUUCGAUUCCCGCCGCCUCCACCA